rnacentral:rRNA from 1 species
AUAAGCAAAAUAAGGGCGUAUGGGGAAUGCCUAGGCUCUCAGAGGCGAAGAAGGACGUGAUAAGCUGCGAAAAGCUACGGGGAUUGGCACACACGAAUUGAUCCGUAGAUAUCCGAAUGGGGCAACCCACUAUGUUGAAGACAUAGUAUCCGAUAGGAGGCGAACCUGCUGAACUGAAACAUCUAAGUAGGCAGAGGAGAAGAAAACAAAAGUGAUUCCGCUAGUAGUGGCGAGCGAACGCGGAAUAGCCCAAACCAAUGUUGUUACGGCAAUAUUGGG